UAGGGAAUUUUGCGCAAUGGGCGAAAGCCUGACGCAGCAACACCGCGUGAACGAAGAAGCCCCUUGGGGUGUAAAGUUCUGUCAGUGGGGACGAAGCCUGACGGUACCCACAGAGGAAGCAUCGGCUAACUACGUGCCAGCAGCCGCGGUAAGACGUAGGAUGCGAGCGUUGUCCGGAAUCAUUGGGCGUAAAGAGUUCGUAGGCGGCAUAUCAAGUCUGGUGUUAAAGACCGAGGCUCAACCUCGGAUGGGCACUGGAAACUGGUAAGCUAGAGUGCAGUAGAGGCAAGGGGAAUUCCUAGUGUAGCGGUGAAAUGCGUAGAUAUUAGGAGGAACACCGGUGGCGUAAGCGCCUUGCUGGGCUGUUACUGACGCUGAGGAACGAAAGCCAGGGGAGCGA
rnacentral:rRNA from 1 species